rnacentral:rRNA from 1 species
GCGUGUGUGAGGAAGGCUUUCGGGUUGUAAAGCACUUUCAGCGAGGAAGAAGGCCUGGUGGUUAAUACCCAUCAGGAAGGACAUCACUCGCAGAAGAAGCACCGGCUAACUCCGUGCCAGCAGCCGCGGUAAUACGGAGGGUGCGAGCGUUAAUCGGAAUUACUGGGCGUAAAGCGCGCGUAGGUGGCUUGGCACGCCGGUUGUGAAAGCCCCGGGCUCAACCUGGGAACGGCAUCCGGAACGGCCAGGCUAGAGUGCAGGAGAGGAAGGUAGAAUUCCCGGUGUAGCGGUGAAAUGCGUAGAGAUCGGGAGGAAUACCAGUGGCGAAGGCGGCCUUCUGGCCUGACACUGACACUGAGGUGCGAAAGCGUGGGUAGCAAACAGGAUUAGAUACCCUGGUAGUCCACGCCGUAAACGAUGUCGACUAGCCGUUGGGACCUUUAAGGACUUAGUGGCGCAGUUAACGCGAUAAGUCGACCGCCUGGGGAGUACGGCCGCAAGGUUAAAACUCAAAUGAAUUGACGGGGGCCCGCACAAGCGGUGGAGCAUGUGGUUUAAUUCGAUGCAACGCGAAGAACCUUACCUACCCUUGACAUCCUGCGAAUUUGGUAGAGAUACCUUAGUGCCUUCGGGAGCGCAGUGACAGGUGCUGCAUGGCUGUCGUCAGCUCGUGUUGUGAAAUGUUGGGUUAAGUCCCGUA